rnacentral:lncRNA from 1 species
CCUGAAUUUUUAUCCUUAAAACUUGUGAUACCACUAGCACAUGCAGUAGUUCCACACGCUAGCUGCCUAUUAGCUCAGUGGCAGCGCUCGCUCAUGUUUCCCCUGCUCUGAAUAUAAACCCCUGCCCAAUUCUGAGAAGUACCACCUGCCUGCACAAGAGUGUGUUUAUGGGGUAUUCAUGUUUGGAUCACUGUAGCUGGACAAUCUUUCUUGGCUUUUGAGCUGUUUUGCUCUAGGGGCUCCUGCUUGUGCCUCCUGAUUAGUGACCAGCUGUGACUCCACCACUUCCUUGCCAAGAAAUCUGCACUUGAAGCCCUCUGAGAAGAUAUGUCCUCAGCUCUCCCAGCACUGAGACAUGCAAUUGAAAGGAUACAACACCAACCCCAAAUCAGGAUUCUACAGGCUAAGGAUCUGUGCCCCUGACCUUUUUGGAGGCCCAACCUGCUUGUCAGUGCUCUGGCUCAAGAAGCUGCAGCCUGCCAUACCCACCUGCUGGCCUCUUGGCAAGGAGGAAAGUGUGACGUGUGCCUUGCUGAGCAAAGCAAAAUGACAUUGCUGCCUAUCCCAGCCAGUUGUCAGCAUGUCCAGUGCUAAUUGUGUCAUUGCUGCACUACUGCCGUUUCUGCAAAGAUAAGGAAGAAACACUUUUCUUGCAGUAGAGGCAAUGUAAGCAGUGUCUGAGGUUGAUAAGCGACAUGGCAUGGCCUAGGUGCUUAAUACAAGACAGAGGCUGACCAUGUGUGGGCCAGAAGCAAGCGCAGCCUGGCAUGCUCUCCUGUUGUGGGACAAAAGACUGACUUGGGUCUGUUCUCCUUUGCCUUUCUGAAAGAGGCCAUGGCAAGUUCCUUUGCUGUGCUGUUGGGUUAAUAAGAAGACAACCAGUUUUUUUUCAAGCAAUUAGCCAAGAAUUUACAAAAGCUCUGUUGAGAAUCACCAUGCUGUGCAGGUUUCCUAUAGCUUCUACUUUGUCCCAGAGCACCAUUCCAGUAGGGGGGGGGGGAAGGGGGGGAGGGAAAUUCAAUUAAUUAUACUGUUGUCAUGUUCAAUUUUUAUUAUCUUCCUAUGUGUCAAAGUUGUUGAUAGUAAACAAGAAAUGGAAUCAGCUUCAUUUUGACCUAAGACUUACAGGAGCAUCUUUCCUUACUCAAAGGGUCAAUUAAUGGGAACAGAAACAAAUCAGUGAUCCUUCAGUCCCAUUAGAAAUGAUGUCAAUUGGAAUGAGUCUUUGACCACUUAAUCUGUAAACUGCAACUGGCUUCUAAACCCCCCUCUUUUCUCAAGGACGUCCCCGAGUUGGUCGAACUACUCAGAGCAAAGAUUUAGUUAAGGCAGUGUUAAAAUAAAAGCACAAGCUGGAGAUCUGCUUCCAGCUCAUCAUAUGCACCUGGGAAUCUCAGAACAUAUUUGGCUUCAUCAGACUACCCAGCCAAUUAGUUGUUAAGUGACAGCGGUCGUGCAUUAGAAAAGGGAGUUGAAUGGCAGUGAACUGCGAGAGCUGGAAACCCACAGUAUCUGAAGAUAGAUGAAGUCCUGUCACUGCCACUAUUACUUGUCACAGGUGACUAAAAGGCAGUGGAGUUCAGCUUGCCAGGAUGAUGACUUUAUUAAAGUUUUUUCACCUUUAUUUCAAAUUCUUUUAGACAAGUCUAGGAAUUUUGCCUCUUAAGACACGGAGGGGUUACCUUCAGUUUGGGAAAAGGAUGUAAAACAUUCAAAAAUAAAUACACAGAUAAGUAAAGAAGUAUUUCUGUGCAUAUGCGACUAUAUUCAUGCCUGAGCUAAAACUGUACGAGUUGGAAAUUGUUUAAUUCAUAUCAAGUAAGGAUAAGUAUAUAGCUAAAUAACUUUGGACCUGAGUAAAGGGAGAAGCUUCCAAAAAACCCAAUACGUCUGCAUGUUUUACCAAAAACCUUAUGAAAUCUACUUUUUUAUUAUUAUAUUUAGUGAAAGUCUUGAAUAUGUGCAGUGUCAUGAUCCAACAGAUGCUAGUUACUGCCUGCAGUUUCACAAUCCAUUCACCAUAAAACACGCCUUUUAUAACAGAAAAAAUUCACUGAAUUACUUAAUCAAUACCACUUGGUGUCAGAUUAUAUGUAACAGAAAUAAUCUCUUGUUUAAGGAUUUCUCUCCAAAUAGCAACUCAGUGAGAACAGGGGCUCCUUAGCAUCUCAGCGCUCAUUCAUGUCCACUUGGAAUACUAGAUGCACGGUUGAGAAAUCUGCAAGAAAUUAAGGAAGUUUGGAUUUGCCUAGUAAUACUUUGACUUGGUAGCAUAACUGCUACCAAGACUUGAAAUAAUAAAUCUGUGAUGGAAGCUGUGUAGGGCACACCUGGCAUGACGGAUGGUGAUAGUCAUACUUUUGUUGUCAGCUGCGGGCACCACGCGUUAUGCCAAAUGCUUUCCCCAUUCCCAAGGCAUCCAAGGAACCCAGCUGGAAAAUAAGUCUGACUUCUCAGUGAUCUUACUCUGUUCCCACUAUUUCAGUCUUAAUGCAUAAAACUUUCUCCUGGGCUGGACUUUCACUAAGUAAUUAUUAAUUGACCUUCUGUGUCUAUGUAAAAUGAAGCAGAAUACUCCUUCUGCUCACUCAUCCUGUAGCUAAGGAACAACAAAAGGUGUUUGGCAACUUUGGUGCCAACCUUUGGUGGCCCUUCUUAACCUGUCCAGGAAGCUCCCAGGGCUUUAUCUUCUUCAUAACUGACAUGUUUGACUUCCCAGUGCUUUACAAAUGAUUCUUGUCUUCAGCAAAUAAGUUUAACUUCGAACAUACAUGUAUUCAAUAUAUAUUGUUAUCAAGCUGAUUAAAGACCUUUACUCAACACAGCACGUAUAAUUCUGAGUUAAUAAUGCCUGUUAAUUUAUGCUAGAUUAUCAACAAUUUAUCAAUAAACAGUCCAGAGAAGUAGGGAAGACUACUCUAUUUGCAGUUGUUUGUUAAAUAUUUUGUUGUACCUCAAAUGUACUUCAGAUCAUGAUAAAACUGCCCAUUUUGUUGAAUUAACUUCACUAAUUUGCUGCAUUUUAAAAGUUUUUAGGAAAAGUAAAUUGGCAUCUGGAAUGUGGGUGUUUACACCAUUCACUGUUUCAGCAUAACAGAAACUGCAGCAACAUAUCUCAAUUUUCCCUGCCCUAGAUUCAGGAAAUGAUGCAAGUUAAUUUCUGUUGUAAGUGCUCAGGAAUAUGUCAACCUGAUGAAGGAUAUUUUCUGGAUCUGAAAUACUGACACAUCUGGCUCGAUAUACAGGUGAGAGUUCCUAAAAUAAAGCUACUUUAAAUAUAUAUUUUGCUUAAAAUAGCCGAGACUUGCUUAGAAUAAUUCCAGUUCUCCUCAAGCUUAAAUGAGACACCCACAUACCAGACCAUUCCAUCUCCUAUUUUAAUGAGAUCCAAAUCUGUCCGGGAUUGUCAACAGGCAUUACAGUGUAGAUUUUUUGAGGACUUGCAAAUCCAAGAGAGGUUAAAUUUCUAUAGACUAAAGCAACAUUAAUCAUACAACAUUGGCCAUAAACAUUGAACGGUACUCAACACCAGAAAGUGCAG